rnacentral:rRNA from 1 species
AUACGGAGGGGGUUAGCGUUGUUCGGAAUUACUGGGCGUAAAGCGCACGUAGGCGGAUUGGGAAGUUGGGGGUGAAAUCCCAGGGCUCAACCCUGGAACUGCCUCCAAAACUAACAGUCUAGAGUUCGAGAGAGGUGAGUGGAAUUCCAAGUGUAGAGGUGAAAUUCGUAGAUAUUUGGAGGAACACCAGUGGCGAAGGCGGCUCACUGGCUCGAUACUGACGCUGAGGUGCGAAAGCGUGGGGAGCAAACAGGAUUAGAAACCCCAGUAGUCC